AGUGAACGCUGGCGGUAGGCCUAACACAUGCAAGUCGAACGGCAGCACAGUAUGAGCUUGCUCUUACGGGUGGCGAGUGGUGGACGGGUGAGGAAUACAUCGGAAUCUACUUUUUCGUGGGGGAUAACGUAGGGAAACUUACGCUAAUACCGCAUACGACCUACGGGUGAAAGCAGGGGAUCUUCGGACCUUGCGCGAUUGAAUGAGCCGAUGUCGGAUUAGCUAGUUGGCGGGGUAAAGGCCCACCAAGGCGACGAUCCGUAGCUGGUCUGAGAGGAUGAUCAGCCACACUGGAACUGAGACACGGUCCAGACUCCUACGGGAGGCAGCAGUGGGGAAUAUUGGACAAUGGGCGCAAGCCUGAUCCAGCCAUACCGCGUGGGUGAAGAAGGCCUUCGGGUUGUAAAGCCCUUUUGUUGGGAAAGAAAAGCAGCAGGUUAAUACCCCGCUGUUCUGACGGUACCCAAAGAAUAAGCACCGGCUAACUUCGUG
rnacentral:rRNA from 1 species